UCUAUAACUAAAACUCACUUAAUUUCUUAACUUGAAGGAGGAAGAACAAUGGCUGGACAGAAAUUUCUUACAGAGAAAUUUGGAUGCAAAGCUCUCUUGAAAUCAGAAUUAUUGACCAAAUUUAGCAGUGUCUGUCAAGUUCUACAAUAGCAGAAUGUAAAUUCAUGUUUCUUUAUCCAAGUCAAAGAAUUACGAAUGGUAUUAGUUUGCUUAAUUCUCAAGAUGAACUAGUUAAGUGAUGCUAGGCAAAAGUCAUUUAAUUGUAAACUUAUAUAACUAUGCGGUGUACCUGUUGAUUUCCACCUGAGCAUAUCUAUUCAAAUUUGUGGUGAGUGCUGAAGUUUUGUCUAUAUAGAUCCACACCUGAACCUAUGAGAAUCUAGCAGUAAGACUAUGUUUUUGAAACUACUCCACACAGAUGGUUGGAGUAUAUAUUGUUAAUAGACUAUUGAAUGGUCUGCUGUAAACCCAGGGCUCAGUGCUUGAGCUUCCCUUUCUCAAAAAGUGAGGCUGGGGUUGGAAUAAAGAGUUUACCUCCCAAGUUUUCAGAGGAAGUAAAAAUUCGAGAAAUCAGUAUAACAGAGUAGAUGAUUAUUUAAAUUCUGAAAAGAGAAGUCUGAUGGAUGAACAAGUCUUAAGGAAGAAGAAAUGGAUAUUAGUAAAGCAGAACUAGGAAAACAAAACUGAACCAGCAAAAUGCCUUUGUUGAGAAGAGGUGCUUCUACAUCAUAUUGGAAUUGACUGCACAAGGGUUCAUGCAUGAGACAAUUGAAUAGAAUUAUUCAAGGCCAGUGUAAACUUCAGAUUUGAUCUUAGUUACAGAUUCCCUCUCUUGGUUUUUUCACAAAUGGAACCCAAUUACAUCUAUUCUCAUUGGCUAGGGACCUUUUCCCCCAUGCUUAUAUUUUGUAAGACUUUUCCCCACAUCCUACCUUCCUACCCCUUUUUCCCAUGGUCCCUACUUCUAAACAUUAGACCUUACUUCCUGACAGCUUAGACUUGGCCUAUCAUCAUAUUAAGUAAGUAUAUGUAUUUAAUUGCUUUCUUAGUGAGUUGUGAAUUUUUUCUUUAAAAAAGUUAAAAUUACAUGGAAAGGUAUGUUAUAUUGUUUCCUAUCAAGUGAGGCACAUUUAUUAGAUGCACGCCUGUUUGGACACAAAGACCCAAUUUAGGAACUACCAAAUAAUGAGUAUUAUUAUAUUCCUUUUUCAAGGGUUUGAAAUGCCAUCCUUCUGAACUUAAUACUUUAAUAUGAAAACAAACAUUAAGAAUAGUGUGAGUAAAUUACCCAGUGGACAUUAUUUUUCAAUAAUUUCAAUGUCACUCUGGUUAAUAGCAUAUUAAGUGUUGAUGAUAUUUCAAAUUGACAAGUUUUGAGAUUGUCUUCUCUUUUUACCCCAGGUCAUUUUCCAAAUAGAAAUUUAGAGAUUUCUCUGUAAGAAAAAUAGAAUAACUGAUGAGUAAUUACAUUUUCUGCAACACCAUGCAGUAGUCAAACAGGCUGAACUGCCAAAUGAUUUUGCUAUAGGAAGGGCAGGAGGAAAUAAAAAUAAAAUAAACAAUUCUCCCUACCCACAAAAAAAAAACAAAAAAAACAAAAAAAACAAGAAACCAUCAACAAAGCCCAGAAACAUUUCAAACAUAAGAUCAUCUUUUACUUUACUCUUUUGUGGGUUAUUUACUUUGCCUUCUGGAAAUAUUACACAAUCUAUUAGCUUUUUGUCUUUAGAUGUUUGCAGGGUAUGGAAUGUACCACUAACUUAAAAAAAAAAAAACAAACCAUUGAUUCUUACAACAGAACUGGUGUGUCCUUGCUAACCACGUAACUACAUUAACUAUAGCUGCUUCACAAAUAAUAAAAUAAAAUGAAAAAGCAGUUAAGAAAACAGGCCAUACACUCUACUAACUUUAUUAGUUAGCAAUCAAAGUAGAAAACAUUUAAUAGUGAGUGUUGGUUUAUCAUUGUUGAAUCAAUAACAGUAACCUGUAUCAUUGUCAAGUUAAUAACUAACAAUGACCAAGAACUUUCCUUCCUUCCUGAUGAGGCUUGACUGCCAAUGAUCAAUGGCAGAGCGAUGAACACUAGAAAGGGAAGAUAGAGCCGCAGGAUUUUGGUUAGUCACUUCAUGUUCCUGCUUUCUGUUUCUUUGCUUGUUCAAUGACGAUAUUGGGCUAGCGGGCUUCCUUCCAUGUGAUUAUGUGUAUUGUGUGAUUUUAUUCCACUGCCAAAUAAAAACGAUUUUUGUGUUGUC